GAAAAAAAUUGUUGCAAACACAGACAUUCGCUCUGCUCGUGUGUGUGUGUGUGUGUGUGUGUGUGUGUGUCGCUGCUCGCGUAUCGACGCACUGCAUCCUGAGGUCGUGCACCUCUCUGCUCCGCUUUUCGCUCUGCUUUCGUCAUUGUUGGAGGAGAUGCCAGUGCAGUGUCUGUGUGUGUGUGUGUGUGUGUAUAUGUGUGUACGUGUGUGUUUGUUUGUGUAAUUUUCAGUAUUUCCUUUGCACUUUAAUCAUAAUAACAAACAAAUUUCUUUGCUUUUGCUAUUUAUUUUGUUUGUUUUUAGUGCAUUCAAGCUGAUAUGACUCUUCUUCUUAACGCUCUUGUUGUGCCAGGUUAGCAAUCCAGUGUUGCAAAGUGCGCCGAAUAACGCUCUAAAACUCGUUUCUUUGAGACUUUACCUUGAUUGUGUGUGUGUAAUGAGAAUUCUCGAAUUCGCUCUGUGAAACUGGCUUCGACAAGUUGAGCUGCGAUUAACAAUAGCAAAGUUUAUUCACAUCGUUUUGAUUCUGUUUAAGUUUUAGUAUUUUCUGUACUUUGAUUUCCGCUCGUGUCGCAUUCUAAUCUAAUAAGAUAUGCUAUUUUUACUUUAAAGUUUCUCCAACGAAAUCUUAUUAGCUGCCCAGAUAAAUUGCUACACGCCGCGCCUCAGAUAAGCACUCCUCGGAUAUUAUACCUGUGCGCAUAUAUAUAUAUAUACAAUUUAUCUAUAUAUAAUGCCUAAUUGAGUCAGUGUGCUACGCCCACAGUUCAGAUAAUGCAAUUAGACGUGCCAGCCAACUGAAGUCCAAUUCCAAUUGGGGAGUGAGCGGAGUGUAUAGCUGGGGAACUGUAAACUCACGUAAACUAUGUGUGUGUGUAUGUACUUGUGUGUGUCUUGAUUGCAAACAACUUAAUAAUGAUACCCUAUAAGAUGGCAGCCAUAAGUCUUUUAGGUUGACGAGGGUGUUUUUUUUUUUUUUCUAAAACUCACUCAUUUUCCGAUUGUCAAAGUGGAAUUCACAAAAUUUAUCGAGAUUCAUCGAGUUGUGCCUAGAUGUUAAUUAAACGAAUUACUGAAAGCUGCUUAGCUUAUUUCUAGGGUAUUAAAUGCCUUUUUUUCUGUGUUCUGCUUCUGCUUGGCUAAUCUCAAAGAUCUUAGUCAUUAGCAGUGAGUAGCUGGCAAUCUGGCAAUUAGGGCAGUCAUUGAUAAGUUUCGAUUAGGAAUCAUUGGGGAAAAAAAAAAGAUAAAACAAAAUAGAGUGAGAAGAAAUAAACAAUCAUUAGCUGGCAGUUUGGCAGCCUUUAAAGUUGGUCGUGUUGCUGUUUUUCAAUUUGUUUACCAAGUAAUUUGGCUUUAAAUGAUGAACGACCGCUUUUGGCCAAAUUGUUGGCUACCUGGAGACAGCUGUGUGUGUGUGUGUGUGUGUAUAUGUUUGUUAUGAUUAUGGAUCGAUUUGUUUUGCGGCCGUCACCUGCGCAUUUUGCAUUUAAUUUGCUAAUUAAAUUGUUGCCUCGCAGAGGGCGUGUUGCCCGGUUUGGAAGUCAAUAGCCCGAUAGAGAUAUGCUGCUGCUGUCCUGGCAGGUUCGGUCUGGUCCUGCCCUGUCCUGCCCUGCCCUGCCCGGGUCGGUCCGGUCCGGUCCGGUCCGGUCAGGUCAGGUCCUUGUCUGUCUGUGCCACUCCUCGAGCUUUGCAUGUCAUUGGCUCGUAAUCAACUCGAAACGACAUCCGUUUCGAGUUGUUGCCACUUCUGUUUCAGUUUUUGCAGUCUCUGCUUCCACAUUCGCUUUCUAUUCUGUUCUGUUGUGCUUUGUACUUUGUCCUAAAACAUUUCCGUCUACGACACUUGCCAAUGAGUCAGUUGGCCAACUUGGCUAGUUGCCUGACCGCCCGCUCCCCCAACCGCAUUCUCUUGGGUCUAAUUUGUUUAACAAAUGCUUUUGCUGUUCUCAGUGUGCGUUUUCAUUUAACCAAAUCCCUUUCACUGCCCUCCCUGCCCCUCCCACUUGCUGCGGCUCAUUAAUUAGCAUUUUUGCUCACUGUUCGAAUUUCGAUUUAUUGUUGUUGUUCGGUUUUUGUGUAAACACAGCCCGAAUUUCCGGACUGGCAAAAAGUGUUUUUCAUUUUUCACGAAUAUACUCUAUGCAAAAAAAAAAGAAUAGGCAUAUUAGCUUAAAUUAACGCAUAGAAGUUAAGAGUUAACUUUAGCGUUAGCUAAUCUUCGAUUCUGCUUUGACUCACAUUCGUAAACGUUGCACGAAACGCUUUUUAUAGCAGCUCACGUAGUCUUCUUUUCAAUUCUGUUUUGGUACGCCAAUUCGUAAACGUUUUACAAAUGCUCUUAACAACAUUCAUUUGGAAUAUGUUAGGGUUAAACGAUCAGUUGUUGAACUUUUACAUACAACUUCUUUUCAAUUCUGCUUUACACAGUAUUCGUAAACGUUGCACUUAAGAUGUAAUUCUUAGAAGAAUAAAUUAAUUUUUAAUACAUUCCGCACAUCUCUUUAUAGGGUAUCCGCUGCUCGACUAUUGAAUUUAAGCUUGUUCAUUUAAUGUGUGUUCUCUCGCUUUGCCCAUUUCUCGGCUCUCGUUUCGUUUUGCCUCAAUUAAAAACUGUGCUGCCCACAUGCUAUUUUGUUUUUUUUUUUUCUGUUGCGUUCAUAUUUACGAGAUACAUUUUUAAGACGCCAUAAAAGUCGAAAAAUGACAAUGUCAAUGUCUCAACAGCUUGUGCAGCGCCCCGCCAAUCGCUGCUCGGCCCCAAUGCUCCCUCGCCAUGUGCUACUGACCUCCAGCCGGGGGCCAUCGUAGAGCCCGACACAUACAGACAUACAGAGUACCGGAGCUGGAAUUCUUGAAUAUGUAUGGUGGGCGCCUCGCUCGCCCGGCCAUCAAUUAUAAUUCUCGCAUCGAUGUUCACUUUUAUGGUGGCGUAUACUUGAUGCGAAAGUCUCGCGAAUUCAUUUUCAUUUUUUAUCUUUUGUCGUAUUUUUUUUAAUUGUGCACAAUUGUUGCUAAAUUUGUCGCACUGCAGCUUCCGGUAUUCAAUUCUCGCUCUCCGGUGGUUUGUUGAGUUUCUUUUGUCAAAACGCCUCCCAUUUCCAUUCCGAUUCCCAUCCCGAUUGCGAUUUCAAAUUUCGAUUCAUCUCGUCGCUUCGCAUUCAAUUAAAAUGUUCUAUUGAAUUUUCGCUGCUUUUGUGGUAGCUAUCAAUGCAGCUGUCUCAUCCGACUCAUACGACCCGGUUCCAUGUCGUGCCUGGCGCGUCUUGUCAACUUUUGGAUUAUAAUCUUUAUCAAUUGGUUUGGGAGGCUGUGUGACAGCUAUGUGUGCAAGUGCACACUCUGCUGCUGGUGUUGGUUUUCAUUCCACAAGUGAAAUGAGCCCAGGCUAGUGUCUCUAUAUGUGUGUGUGUGCGUGUGUUAAUGUGCAUCAAGUGCCCUCUUUUUGAGCUGUAAAUAAUGAUCUAAGCUUCAAGAAUACUGAAAUACUUCUAUCUAUUAUGAUGCAGGGCAAGCUUGUCUGAUUAAAUCAACAAGUCAGGCUGACGAAGCUUACGUUUUUUCUUUUAGAAUAAUAAUGAUACGAGCUUUAAAGUUUUAUUAAACCUCGGAAUAUGUUUUUUUUUUUUUUUUGUUAUUUCAAGCUUUAAUGAGCUUUCAAAGUUGUUUAAUGUUUACAAGCAUUGUUGAUGCUCGGAACAGAAGCUUUUUUGCAAUUUCUAGCUUAUUUUCAGUACAUUUAAAAGCAGCUUGAUUAAGUUAAACGGUAGACAAUGUUCUUAAAUGAGCUUACGUGUGAUUUGAAAACCAUUUCGUUGAGUUUUCUGUAUUGAGACUAAAUAUGCAGAAACUUUCGUAUGAUUUCAAGCGCACUUGUGCUUUUAUAGUCAAUCAAUUGAGCUUUUAGCGUACAGAGCUUUCAGCUAUCUGAGUAUUGAUACUAUAGAGCUUUCAUGUAUUUCAAAAGCUGUUUGUUUGCCUCAAGCAAUAUUUUAUAAAUGACACUUUGCGUACACUUAAGCUAAUGUCAUUCAACCAUAAUCAUAUAAAAUGCUCUGUAUGCAUUUUCUUCGUACAUUCCUCCUGUUUUUCCGGCUUGAGCACAGGCUCUAUUUAUAGACAAGCCUUAGUCACCUGUCCAAUUAUGCAUAAGAAAAGCGUUUUUAAAUAUUUGAAAUUUCUGAUGAAUUUCUGAAUGAACUUGAGAACACAAAAUUUUUAAUUGCCUUUUGCCCCAUGUCAGUGAAUCUUUUUGUGAUAUUAUAAAUUACGUAUUGAAUAAUGGGCGAAAUGAAAAAAAGUAUAACAACAACAAAACAAAAACAAACUCAGCACAAUCAGUUUAAUAAAUUUUAAAAUUAUAAACAAUCGAAAUUGAACGCACAAAUGAAAAAAAUAUUAACAACAAAAUAUAAACGAGUGAAAUCAUCGAAGAGCGUAAAUUUUCCGCACAAAUAACGUCGAAACUAAAGAAUCUGCAGCAAUAAGUGAUAAACAAUAAUAAAAAGAAUCAACUAGAAAAUGCUUUAUUAGCCAAGAAGAAGAAAAAGAAGAAGCAGCAAAUAAAGAAGCCGUAGAACAUGUGAUAAAGUCGUGUGUAAAUCAAAGUUUGUCGUCACAAUCAACAAUUAAUAAAUAAAUAAAAGUUUCAAGGGGCCAUACAAACGCACAAAUACAUACAUACAUAUGUAUGUGUAUAUACAAACAAACAUACAUACGCACAACCUGCAUCUUGGCCCGUUAAACGUGAACGUGAACGUUUGAUAAGGCCGCAGGCGAUUAAAACGGUAAAAAAAAACAAACAAACAAACAAAACAAAUACACGAGAGCCGGCACCAGGACUAGCUUCCGCUCUCUCUCUUUCUCUCUCUCUCGCUCGAGAGGGAAUUCACAUAACUGCCGUUAAUUGAUGCACCAAACUGAUGAAAUCUUAAAAAUAACUUUAAUAAGCAAACUAACAGUAAAACAACAACAAUAAGCAGCAGCAGAACGUUGGGCAGCUUAAAAGCGACCUCAAAGCCACGCUGAUGAUGGGCUACAUCAUGGGUUGUGCUUGUUUCAAAGGUGAGUUUUCUCAUGGGUUUGCACGUGCAUAAAAAUAUGUUUAUCGCUGUGUGGGUAAGUUUAACGUUUCUGUUAUUUGAAUGCCUAACAGCAGCUGUUAACGCGCUGUUAGCUAACAGCAGUGACAGCUUUUCACUGCAUAAAAAUAUAGCUUUAGCCACAGGGUGCACACUGAAAGCACUUGAAAGCUUUCGCCAAAGCUUUCGUUUGUGCACAACAUUCAAGUUGUCUUUCAAAUUAUCAAGCCAAGAUGCGUUAAAUCAAUUUAAUGUCAAAUCUGUGCGCAUAAUCAAGCACUGGGUAUGUGUCAUAUAUAUCAUAUAUAUGUCAUUUGGAUCAUUUAUAAUGUAACGCCACACAUCAUUGCAAAUCAUUGUGCAGAAGAAUUGCAAGCUAAGCAGAGCUCAACUUUAAUGGCCAAAUGUGUGCCACGCCCACCACCACAAAGCGGCACCAUAAAACACUCAGCUUAGCUGGCAGAGAUUUUUAACAAUGCCAACGUCUCCAUUAAUUUUAAAAACCGCCAACUUAUCAGGCCGCGUCAUGGUCCUAAGUGAUUUCUGCUCCUUGAUUUAGCGCCAAUUCUUAGGCGCAUAUGCGAGGGUUGCUUAAUGGAGUUUGGCCAUGUUUCUAUAUCUAGCUUGGAUGACUUCAUAAAUCUUCCUUUUUGCUAUUCCUUUAAGAUCAAUUUGUAGCCAGAACCUAAACUUUAAAUCUGCCGUUUCGCACGUUUUAAUAUGAGAUCAAUUUUUCGCAUAUUUUUAAACUGUAACUAAAGCUCAUAUUGAUUUUUUAGUUACUGAAGUAUUUGGUUAACUGUUUGUUUUUUUAUGUGUGUGAAAAACCGAAAACUCAAAUGUUUUAUUUAAAUUUCCUUCCAUGCAUUUCAUUCUAUUCCAUUUAAUUAAGCCAAAGAAUAAUGUUGUCUAUGAGAGCUUAAUUUUUAAUUGAUGAGCAGCCCUCGUAUUUUGGGCUCUGCACAGAUAUUUAUAUGGGCUUAUAUAUGGAGGUACAUAAAGACGCAUUCCCAUUUGUGGCCAACAGGCAAGGACAUGUGGCUGGCGUCUUUUUGUUGUAUGCCUGUAUAUGCCCUUCACCUUGCCACACACGCGCACGCACACACAUAGUUGGGCCAAGUCUGUGGCAUGCCUUGAACAGAAUUUUUGGCUAACUGUUCUUUAAUCAAAGCCAUUCCACUUUAUGAGCCAGCAACUAAAAUUAUGGCCAUAUUUAAAAGGCUGGCUGCUUGGCUGCUUGUUAAUUCGCAACAGCGAUCCUGGCGCUGGCUCAAGGAUAACAGCAAAACGUGCACAGGAUGCGUUGCACAUAGAUACAGCUGCCUGCUCCUAACUUUCAAUUUGGUCCGCUCUCUCAUUCUAUCUUUCUCUCCUUCGCUCUCGCUUUGUGUCGCAUCAUUUGCAUAAUUCUAAUAUGGGCAUCAGUCGACGCCAGUUCCUGUGUGGCCACAUCGAGCCGUAUAGAUCCCACAUGCCACAAUCCACAUGCCACAUGCGAUUUGCGAUUUGCAUAAAUAAAAUUGUAGUGUCCUUUAUUUUUUAUCUUCUCUCUCUCACUCUCUCUGUCUCUCUCGUGUUGUGCCUGCUGUUGUCGUUGCCUGUCAACCUAAAUUACGGCCAUUUGAUUUCGGCAAUUACAGCGCAUUUUUGUGCAACAAUUUUUUGUGUCCUUUGUCCACAGACACA